AAUAGGAGUAAACAAUAAUAGUAGUGGUAAUAGUUGUGUAGUUAAUAAUGGCUGCAACAUAUAUGAGAAUGGAAGUAUACGCAAUGAUCCUCUAGAAGUCAAUUUUUGAUAUUCAGCCACACUAAUUUGUGAAUCUAUCACAUAGGUUAGCAAAAGAUCAUCUGAAGAACAUAACUAUCUAUUUAUUUUCUUAAUUUUUAAGAUGCCUGAGGGUGGAACUAAAUAUACCACCCGAACUCAUGGAGAACUGCGAAAAAUGCUGCAUGAAUUCUGCAAAAAACUCGUAUCUUGGUAAAUCCAUAAAUUGACAGGUAGUCGGCAGAUGGCGCUAAAACUUUUUUUGCCAUGUAGUUUAAUCUCAUGCAAUUAAAAUGUGCCAAUUUUAAUUCUCUUGGACUAAAAAUGGGUAUGUUAAAGAGGUAAGAUGUAAUUGAGUUCCAUAUAACUUUUUUUUUUUGCUCUUGGGAACAAAAUGAGCUGUGGUGUGGUGUUAAACAUAUUUCCUCAUUUGAAGUUUUAUGUUGCAAGCAGUUUCUAUCCACUUUAUGCUCUUCCUUACUUUAUUUGUACCUUACAUAUUCCCAUCAAGAUUGGUGGAAUUACCUUGUCAUGCUCUCAUCAGCCUGCAUCAGGUUAUACAUAUUUAACAUGAUCCAUAUAGUGGCUUGUACUGACUGUCACAUAAAUUAGUUGGAUAUGCCAAAAGGGACCUUGGACUUCCCUUUUUGUGAGCACGGUAUUAACUACUUGUAUGUUGGUGGAUCAGGUUGAGCAACCAUAUUCCUCAUUCUUUGAGUUCAUAUGCUCUAUGGUGAUCCUGUAACUCAGCAGAAAUUUUAGUUGCACUCUUCAUGAGAAGGUGGGGGGCUAAACGAGCAAUUCUCUGGAAUCGAUCUUUUCUUGGCUGGUUGGAACCACAGUCAUCUCUACAUUUCAACUGAUACUUGAGCAAUUUCACCAUGCAGUCUGAGGAUCUUUCAUCAUCUAAAAUGCCAGUGGCUGAGAAAGUCUCCCGAAAGAAUUAGGUCCGGCCGAAGCAAAACACGAUCUUCUGUAAAUUAGAUGUUGAUGACAUUUUCAAUGUCAACAAUUCUCGCCUAUUUUCGAUUUUGUUUGAGGCAUGUAACAAUUAUUAAUUCCUCCGUGGUCAACAUGAUGACAUAGAUGGUUUAUGAUAUCCUGUUGCUCUGAAGAGAACUAGCGGGGGUUGAGGGUUUGGAGAUCAAUGAGCUAACUCUGCGUGAAGCAAGAUUCUAUAGAAGUUUGCAUCUUUUAUCCAAA